rnacentral:misc_RNA from 1 species
GAAACUCUCAAAUAAAGGUGGCUUUGUAGCUGUCUCUGUUUGGAUUUGGACUCUGCUGCAUUAAUGUGGCUAGUCUUAAAUAUAUUAGCUGGUCCUCAUUGAGGUUUGGUUCUACUCGGCGUGAUAAUUAUCUAACGUUGAGGACAGUCUCUCAGGACUGGCCAUGACUCUCUCUGGAUUGCUUCUAAAGGAAAAUUGUCUUGAAGGGACAAUCACUCAAU